GCUCACGUGGUGGAAUUGGUAGACACGCCAUCUUGAGGGGGUGGUGCCAGUAUUGGUGUGCUGGUUCGAAUCCAGUCGUGAGCA
rnacentral:tRNA from 4 species